rnacentral:rRNA from 1 species
UACGUAGGGGGCAAGCGUUGUCCGGAAUUAUUGGGCGUAAAGGGCGCGUAGGCGGCGCAACAAGUCACUUGUGAAAUCUCCGGGCUUAACCCGGAGCGGCCAAGUGAUACUGUCGUGCUAGAGUGCGGAAGGGGCUACUGGAAUUCUCGGUGUAGCGGUGAAAUGCGUAGAUAUCGAGAGGAACACCUGCGGCGAAGGCGGGUAGCUGGGCCGACACUGACGCUGAGGCGCGAAAGCCAGGGGAGCGAACGGG